GCAGUUGUUGAGACAAACUGAACGUUAGUCCCUAGAAGUGAGCUAGAGAGUGGUAGCGCAGUUCACUUAUGUCUUCAGCUACUUCUGUGAUUGCAUCCCAUGUUGACAUAGAUUGGGCAAGGAAGCCUGUUGUCCCCUGGGUAUCAGGUAGCACUGCGAACAAUGUGUGACUUCUUUGAGGGAGGACCUGGAUCACUGUGUUGUUACAGCUCAUGUUAGAGCUCUGCUUGGCAAGGACCAUGACUAUCUGGAGUCAGCGUUUCACUCUGAAGAAAGGUAGAAAGCUCACCGAAUUGUUUAGGUGAAUUUUUUACUCCAGAAAAUUUGGUGUUCAGUUGCUGGUCCAGAUUGGGUUACUUAGAUAUGUAGGUUCUUUUGGUUUGUUUUUGCCCUCAGCCAACUCAUGAUCUUGCCCUAAAUAUUGUUGAACAAAAAAGUGACUGUAGUUGAAGGGGUUAUUUCAAAAACUGUCUCAUUCCAUUAUUUAUUUUUCAUUAGGAGGUUUCCCUGAUGAGUAUUAUUUGUUUGCAGUUAUUAAAAUCCAUAUUUUCUCUUUCCCUUAUCUAACCAGUGAUGUGUCAGAGGAGUGCUUCCUUGUUGUGCAUUAUCCAUGGCAACAUCCCAGUGCUGCCUCAGCUGUCUUCCACUUCCUAGUGCUGUUCUUUGAUCUUUUCUUCUUGCUCAUUUUCUGUACUAUUACUCUCUUAUUCAUUGGACUGCUAUGCAUUACAGCCUACUAAGGGAGAACGAUGCAGCUAACUCAUCAAGGAAAUUUCUUGCCAUUAUUCUAUAUGCAUUGCAGAAGCCAGUUAAAAAGCAUUCCCAGUAAUCUGGUACAAGCAAAGGACCCAGCCCAGAGCAAAGGACUUCUCUGCUGUGUGCAUUUCCAGAGGGUAGGUCGAACAUUUUAUCAUUCAAUAAUAACUGAUGCUGCUGGAAACUGUACUCAGAAUUUUGUAAGAAAUUUUAUUUCAGUUCACUUAUGUGCCUCUUUAUCUAAAGAAAAACUAUUAGAUUCAAAUAUGGGAUACGCUGAUGUGAUAGGCAAAUAAUUUUGGGACCAACAUAAAGACUUACCCAUAAUGAAGUGUUUUUAGAAACGGGUUUUUCUUCAAUUUUCUGACAGAUAAUUUUGUUAGUUAUUCAAAAACAGAAAAUAGUUGCUAUGCGAUUUAGUAUAUUUAUGUACUUUCUGCCUUCAAAAUAUUUUGUAAAAGUAACGUAUAUAUGAAUUCCAGUAUUGCCAUAUUUUAGUACUGAAUUUCUUAAAUUUUACACUCAUAGCUGUAAUUAUUGUAAGCAUCAACUGUUGUGACUGUUCUGGAAUAAUUUCAGAGUUACUAUUUUAAUGGCUCAUUUUCAGUCAGAAUGAGUUCUCUGGUUUGAUGAGAGAUUAAAUAUCUCUCAAAGAGUGAAUGAGGGAAGUCUCUGUGAAUGUAUCAUCUCACACAAUCACUAUUUCAUGGUAUUUUUGUGUUGUAAAGCAUGUAAAACUUUCUAAAUAAGAAAUUGCAAAAGCAUUUUCAAUUUUUCUUGGUAUGCAAGCCAUAGUACUUCUGUAAUGUCUAUUGACUUACAUGAACAGCAUUAUAAGCAGUUUGUUGGCAAAAACACUUGAGAAAAAAAAUCACGCUUCUAGCACAGUUCUCUCUGGAGAAGCAAGAAGCUAAGCCUGAUAGACUGCUACCUCUGUAGCACAACAAGGUGGUUAUUCAUCCUCCUGUAAAAGCGGGUCUUUAGGGGCUAGUGGGCUAUACUUAAGAUCAAUAGAACUAUUGGCACAUAUUGAUUUGCUUAAUAAAUCUUGAUCCUGGCUUAUAAUAAUCA
rnacentral:lncRNA from 1 species